AUUGAACGCUGGCGGCAGGCCUAACACAUGCAAGUCGAGCGGAUGAAGGGAGCUUGCUCCUGGAUUCAGCGGCGGACGGGUGAGUAAUGCCUAGGAAUCUGCCUGGUAGUGGGGGAUAACGUCCGGAAACGGGCGCUAAUACCGCAUACGUCCUGAGGGGGAAAGUGGGGGAUCUUCGGACCUCACGCUAUCAGAUGAGCCUAGGUCGGAUUAGCUAGUUGGUGGGGUAAAGGCCUACCAAGGCGACGAUCCGUAACUGGUCUGAGAGGAUGAUCAGUCACACUGGAACUGAGACACGGUCCAGACUCCUACGGGAGGCCGCAGUGGGGAAUAUUGGACAAUGGGCGAAAGCCUGAUCCAGCCAUGCCGCGUGUGUGAAGAAGGUCUUCGGAUUGUAAAGCACUUUAAGUUGGGAGGAAGGGCAGUAAGUUAAUACCUUGCUGUUUUGACGUUACCAACAGAAUAAGCACCGGCUAACUUCGUG
rnacentral:rRNA from 1 species